GGAUGGAUCAUUCCUGGUCAAACAACCAACAUAAUCAGCUUCUGACACAACAUCACAACUCAAAUCUUAAACAAACUUAAAAACUCUUAGCGAUGGAUGACUCGACUCUCGUAACGAGGAAGGACGCAGCAAACCGCGAUAAGCAGUAUGACUUGCGAAUUCUCGUGAAUCACUAGAUUUCUGAACGCUAUUGUACUCCUGGCUUCAGUCUCGAGUAUACUUGGCUCGGUAUCGUAUAAUUUUCUUGUCUUGGUUGGAUUAAAACCGAUGCAAGUCCUGAGCUUUCGCUUGUUUAAACGAGCGUCUGCUGACAAAUCGAUCAUCAGGAUAAGUCGAGAAACUGUUACAGUUAUACUACGACAGUCUCACUUAUUGUGAGGGUAAAUAACAUUUAUGAUCUGAGCUCAAGUAAGGUUACCCGCUGAAUUUAAGCAUAUAAUUAAGCGGAGGAAAAGAAACCAACAGGGAUUUCCUUAGUAGCGGCGAGCGAAAAGGAAUCAGCCCACGAUGUGAAUCCAGUUUGCUUGCAAGCUGGAGUUGUACAUUGGAGCCAUGGCAAUCUUCCGAUGACUAGCUAAGACGCCUGGAAAGGCGUGCCACAGAAGGUGAUAGCCCUGUCUUUGCAAAGUCAGUCGUUUGAGACGUCUUGGUUCAAGGAGUCACGCUCUUUGGGAGUAGAGCGCAAAACGGGUGGUAACCUCCAUCCACGGCUAAAUACCAACGAGAGAUCGAUAGCAAACAAGUACCGUGAGGGAAAGUUGAAAAGCACUUCGAAAGGAGAGUUAAAAUACCUGAAAUCGCCAAGGGGGAAGCGACUGUCCGUGACCCAAGUUAGUUCAGCGCUACUGUUUCGGCAGAAGAUACUGAAUUACUACUCGACACCACUUCCUUGUUUCUUGAUCCCUUGUCGGCGCUUGCGUCAACGAAGUCUUUCUUUUAACGAGGGAGUGACGCGAACCGGCUUGCCGUAAGUUGUUGAGAGAGGCACGUACAGGCGACCCGUCUUGAAACACGGACCAAGGAGUUAAACAAGUGUGCAAGUGUAAGGGUGUGAAACUCAUACGCGCAGUGAAAGCAAAAGCUGUGAAUAACAAUGCAACAGCGGCCGACUCUUGAAGUUCGAGCUUGAGCAUAUUUGUUUAGACCCGAAAGAUGGUGACCUAUACCUGAGUUGAGUGAAGCCAGGGGAAACCCUGGUGGAAGCUCGUAGCGAUACUGACGUGCAAAUCGUUCGUCAAACUUGGGCAUAGGGGCGAAAGACUAAUCGAACCAUCUAGUAGCUGGUUCCCUC
rnacentral:misc_RNA from 1 species